UAAUCACUAAAACGAAAACAAAUUCAUUACCUGCCUACCUUCGGAGGGUUUGCAUGGUUCUUAUCAGAAGUUCGAUUAUCAUUAAAAUUCAGAUACGCUGCUAUGUACAAAACUGGUUACAACACAAGAGCUACAAGCACAGAUCAGCAAUCACGUUCUUACCUGUUAUCAUGCGGAGGCAUCGCAAACAGAUAGAUCCGUUGAUUAUGGUGCGAACUCGGACAUGAC